UAAGGGACUGCGGAGACAUUAUCGAGUUUUAAUUGGGUUGUAGCUGGCCUUAUAAGGCAUGUGCACACCUGGUUUAAUCCACUCUACACCUGUGCAUUUAUUGUAGGCUUUAUAUCAGUGAAAGCAAAUCCUUUAUAGGGUUUGUAGAAGCUGUUUAAGUCUGCGUUUAUUACAAACUCUUAAAAGUAUGAGAAUGUAUAUUAUGAUGUAAUACAUCUUAAUACAACUUUCAGCAACGGAUCUCUUGGCUCUCGCAUCGAUGAAGAACGCAGCGAAAUGCGAUAAGUAAUGUGAAUUGCAGAAUUCAGUGAAUCAUCGAAUCUUUGAACGCACCUUGCGCUCCUUGGUAUUCCGAGGAGCAUGCCUGUUUGAGUGUCAUAGAAUUAUCAACUUAUAAGCCUUUGUUAGUUUAUAAGCUUGGACUUGGAGGGAUUUGUUGGCCUAAUGGCCAGCUCCUCUUAAAUGCAUUAGCUUGAACCUUUAUGGAUCGGCUCUCGGUGUGAUAAUUAUUUACCCCGUGGCUGUGAAAUGUUUUGGCAAGCUUCCAAUUGUCUUUUUCAAGGACGAUAUUUAUUGACCUCUGACCUCAAAUCAGGUAGGACUACCCGCUGAACUUAAGCAUAUCAAAACGCGAGAGGAA
rnacentral:rRNA from 1 species